rnacentral:rRNA from 1 species
UACGGAGAGUGCAAGCAUUAAUCGAAAUUAUUGGGCGUAAAGGGCGCGUAGGCGGGUGAAUAAGUCAGAUGUGAAAUUCCAAAGCUCAACUUUGGAGCUGCAUUUGAAACUAUAAUUCUAGAGGAUUGACGGGGAAAACGGAAUUCCACGUGUAGCGGUGAAAUGCGUAGAUAUGUGGAAGAACACCUGUGGCGAAAGCGGUUUUCUAGUUAAUACCUGACGCUGAGGCGCGAGAGCAAGGGGAGCAAACAGG